AGUGAACGCUGGCGGUAGGCCUAACACAUGCAAGUCGAACGGCAGCACAGUAAGAGCUUGCUCUUACGGGUGGCGAGUGGCGGACGGGUGAGGAAUACAUCGGAAUCUACUUUUUCGUGGGGGAUAACGUAGGGAAACUUACGCUAAUACCGCAUACGACCUACGGGUGAAAGCAGGGGAUCUUCGGACCUUGCGCGAUUGAAUGAGCCGAUGUCGGAUUAGCUAGUUGGCGGGGUAAAGGCCCACCAAGGCGACGAUCCGUAGCUGGUCUGAGAGGAUGAACAGCCGCACUGGAACUGAGACACGGUCCAGACUCCUACGGGAGGCAGCAGUGGGGAAUAUUGGACAAAGGGCGCAAGCCUGAUCCAGCCAUACCGCGUGGGUGAAGAAGGCCUUCGGGUUGUAAAGCCCUUUUGUUGGGAAAGAAAAGCAGCAGGUUAAUACCCCGCUGUUCUGACGGUACCCAAAGAAUAAGCACCGGCUAACUUCGUG
rnacentral:rRNA from 1 species